AUUGAACGCUGGCGGCAGGCCUAACACAUGCAAGUCGACCGAGCGGCGGACGGGUGAGUAAUGUCUGGGAAACUGCCCGAUGGAGGGGGGUAACUACUGGAAACGGUAGCUAAUACCGCAUACAAUCGGAUGUGCCCAGAUGGGAUUAGCUAGUAGGUGGGGUAACGGCUCACCGAGGCGACGAUCCCUAGCUGGUCUGAGAGGAUGACCAGCCACGCUGGAACUGAGACACGGUCCAUACUCCUACGGGAGGCAGCAGUGGGUAAUAUUGCACGAUUGGCUGAGGCCGGAUGCAGCCAUGCCGCGUGUAUGACGAAGGCCUUCGGGUUGUAAGGCACUUUCAGCGAGGAGGCGUUACUCGCAGAAGAAGCACCGGCUAACUCCGUGCCAGCAGCCGCGGUAAUUC
rnacentral:rRNA from 1 species